rnacentral:lncRNA from 1 species
UAAGCAGUGAAGCCCAUGAGCCACUAGAAGCCACAUGUUCUGCCAUGUGGAGAAGAAUGAGAGAGUACAUCCUCAAAUUGAGGUGUGGCAUGAUGAUUUGGCUGCCCAGAGGAGAACCUGUCUUUCCCAUCUAAAGUGGGAGGUCAAGCCAAGUAGAGGUUAACAGCAUGUGAUCCUGAGAGGCGAUGGAAACAGUGAAUUGCCGGGCCAGGGCCAUCUCCGCCUGGCUGUGGAAGAGGAACGGGAUCCCUUCCUGGACUGCAUAAGCCCCAGGUUUGUUGGAAACCAAGAUCAAACAACUAAGAGAGUCAAAGCUGAGACUGUGCCCUUUUCACUCCACCAGACCAGCCACCUUUCAAGGGCCUGUGCCUGUGGUAACUGUCUAUGAGCCAGGUAUAUCUGAAGCAUAUUUGACAACAGAAAAAGUUAAUGUAAUUUUCAAAGGAAAAACGCCAACUUUUUUCAAAAAGGCUGGAUCCAGCUCUUCAUGAAUGUCCUCAAUGAGAAGGGGUCGGCCCAAGGAAAGGCUGUCCUCCAAGUGUGUGCGAAAAUAUUUAUGGUUCAGAGAUGUCACCUAAACAGAAAGAACUCAUUGGUCUAUCUGUGUUACAAAGAAUGUGCCCAUUGCUAAGGGAAACCGAGAGAUUUGUUGGACAGGUAAUCAAGAAUUUUAAGGGCAAUAGAAGAAGACUUACUUAAAAAAAUUAAAGUAACAUACAAAAAUUAAUUUCUAAAACUUGGUGAGUCAUGAUUUUGUUGAAUGGGGUCUAGAUGUGUAAUGGGGUCUCUAUGAUCAAAAGAGGAGGGUUAAGGGGCAUUGCUCAGAUGCAAUGUCAGAGUUCUGCUCCUGACAGAUGGAAGAGAAUAGUCAAGGAUUAAUCCUUUCAAACUUACAUAGCUAUAAUCGCUCAGAGAAAGCAAAGCAACUUGCAUAUCUGGAUAUUCAUUUAUUUUCUCAGGACCCCUACAAGAUGAGUAAGUGAUAAAAAGUAAACAUAAGAAUGUCAGAAAUGAUAUAUUGAGUCGCACUGAGGGUCUAUCCAUGUAUUCUGUCUCCUAUUGGCACUGGGAAGAAUUUAACACUUUCCGUAAAGUCAACCUAAAAGACUAGACAUUCACUUUAUAUAUGCUUACAUUUUUUUAAAACUGCAAUUCUGAAUUCCUGGUUGGGUCUUCGUGUUUAGAUUAAUGCGUUUGUUAUUAGUUAAAAUAGACACACUGUAGUGGUUCAUCUCUGCAUGAGCCAAUUGGAUUUGAACCCUUACUUCACCUAGGAUCCCUCCCCCUGCCUAACUGUGAAGAUUCCCAAAGGCUCAUUUCUCAACUUUUUGUAUCCUAUCUUCUGAAUUCAACUAAUGCCUUAGGCUAUUGUGGGUGCAGACCAUAAGAUGCAAGGAAGAAUCCACUGGGACAACAGGCGAUUAGGAGAAUGGAAUUAAAUAUGUAUCUCUCAAUUACUAUGAUAAAAAGAAGAUAUGAAAUAUAACAAUUAAAUCAGCCUACUUUUGUCCUGUUUUGAUUAAAAAGGAAAUAACUAAAAAAAAAUUCUGCACAUGAAGGAAGUUGUUUCCCUGGAUGAAUAGCUUUCUUUAUACAAAUAAUGUGCUGUAAAGACCUUCCUGUAAGUUAAUAAGGAAAAAGAA